rnacentral:rRNA from 1 species
UACGGAGGGUGCAAGCGUUAUCCGGAUUUAUCUGGUUAAAGGGUGCGUAGGUGGGUUGGUAAGUCAGUGGUGAAAUACUUCGCUUAAACGAAGGAACUGCCAUUGAUACUACCAGUCUUGAAUGUAGUGGAGGUAGGCGGAAUGCGUCAUGUAGCGGUGAAAUGCUUAGAUAUGACGCAGAACACCAAUUGCGAAGGCAGCUUGCUACACUACUAUUGACACAUGAGGCAGCGAAAGCGUGGGGAUCAAACGG